GGGUUUUUAGUUUAUAAAAAAAAAAAUAUUUGGUUGCAAUUCAAAUGAUAAUUAAAUAAAUUUUAAUUAAAGCUCU
rnacentral:tRNA from 1 species